CGCUUGCAAUACCAUAGUUGAUGCCAGAAAUGCCGGCGGCCGCACUUUUGAUGCAUUUGCAAGCUGCUUGCCGGUCUGGUGUUGUUUGGGCGGCGGAGUUGAGAGAUUUUAUGCCGCCGCAGCAACCUGGGGGAACGCCACCAGCACCAUUCCCUGUCAAGUAACCAAUGCAGGGUGCGAGGGAGCUUGUGACUUGACCACAGGUUACGGCCCCUUGAGCCAGGGGUGCACCCACCACCAUGCACAACACCGCCACACAUGCAAGCUUAAGGGACAUUGAGCUAGCCAUAUCGAUUAAUCACAAGAAAAACAAACUUGUAAGGAAAAUGCUUGCUUGGAGUAGUAGUACUAUUGCUGAUUGUCGUGGUUAGGGCUUGAGGGUAGGAGGGUUUUUAUAGCCAAAAGUAGUAGCGGGUGAUGUCUGAAUUUUACUUUCCUAGCUAUUAGGUAAGUUGAGAUUAUCCGAUCCAAACAUUAACACACCACAUUAAAAGUUGAGACCAUUCAAUUAGGUUCAACUGCCAACCUACGUGAUUAUUGUUUUCUUUCAAUACAAUUAAAACCAGCGUCCAUUUGAUUUCACUCAAUCAUGCCUCCACAGCUAGGACUCAAAUAUUGGUUUAACUUUUUUCUAGGUGUUUUCUUAUAAACAUGAGAUUUACAUUUGAUGUAUUUAUAAAUGCAUUUAUUGUCAGAAUGAUACCAUUUUAUUAAAAGUAAUUUGAUUUAUAAUUGUUUGUAUAUAUACUUUUAUAUAUUAAGUCUUUAAUUGAAUUGGUAUUACGAUUCACCCAAGCAUCUAUUUAAUUGAAAAUUUGUUAAAAUAUUCAUAUAACAAAUAUUAAUAUUAAUAUAAAUGUAUUUUUAUUUUUAUUAUAAAUAAAACUAUAAUAAGAUUUAAACUUAUGACUCAUAAAUUUUACUCUUUUUAACUUAACUAUUUCAACUAAAAUUUCAUUUAGUUUUAAUAUAAAUUUUUAUAAAUAUAUUAUUUACAUGAAUUUUCCUUUUCCAGGCGGUAUGCCAUGGAACUAAUAUAAAAUAUAAACAAAUGGUUAUUUUGUUAUUUUCAAUGGAAAAAAAAAACUUCACAAGAUUAGGACACAUGCAUGGUUUUUUUAAUAUAUAUAUAUAUAUAUCAUGCAACAUUCUAAAUCUAUUUAUAGAUUAUUUUGUUGAUUGAAUUUUUAUUUUUUUUUAUUUUGGUAAUUAUAUAAAACUAAAUAUUUUCUUCGCGCAAUGUUAAGAGCAGUUUGAAAUUUAAAAGAAGUGUGGAUUCUAAUAAUAAAUUUAGUUAUCUAAUGUUUACAUAUUUUAUUAAUUUGGUCUUAAAUAUAAAAAUUAAAUUCAACAAAAUUAGCCCUCAAUGUUUACAAAAUUUUUCAUUUUAAUUCAAAUUCUAAAAUAAUCCAAUAAAUUUAGCUCUCAACAUUUACAAAAUGAAAGGAUUUGAUUUUUAAAAUUUUAAUUUUUUUUUUUAAAAACCCAAAACACAAACCUAAAUAAACUGAAAAAGAAGAAGGAAUAAUUAUCAUCACCACGAUCUAAUCUCUCAACUUUAAAAUAAGACUUCAACUUCGGUUUAACCCCAAGACAAGGCGAAACAUUGAAAGUAAGUGCAGCGGAUGCCAUUGAUUCUCCUACCUUUUGGCUAAACACAUAAAUUUGAACAACUUCAUACAUAACUAGCAGCAGUACUAAAAAAUCAUUAAUACUAUAUUUUCAAGUACAAGAAAUUGAAAAAAGAAUCACGGGUAGAGUACAAAAAUGAAAUUUGGUGUGAACCUAGAUUAACAAAACAAGGUUCACGGUUUCUCAAAAACACAAUACUAAAUUUUUAGAAUUUCUUGUGAAGAUCAAGCAAUGAGACAAAUACUGAAAUUGGCAAUGCCUUAAUAGCAAAUAAUAAUUCAAACCAAUGUAGAAAAAAGAUGAAGAAGAAGAAGAUAGGAAAAGAAUUUUUAGUUUACAUUAAAAGCCUUGAAAAGGUAGACCGAUAGGAUUGAUUGUUUUGAAUAUUACUCAACUUUCUCAUUAAUUCUUGUACUAUUAUGGCUAAGUGUGUUUUUAGAUGGUAAUGAAUUUUUUUAAUUGUUAAUAAUUUUUACAAUUAUUACACUUGAUUUGGCAGUUGUUUUUCUUUUUAAUUUACAAAAUUUUAAAAAAUUAAAAAUUUCUAUUUUGUAAAUGCUAAGAGCUAAAUUUAUUAUUAUUUAUUUUAGAAUCUAAACUAAAGUGACAAAUUUUGUAAAUAUUUGGUGUUAAAUUUAUUGGAUUUUUAUAUUUAAAAUCAAAUUGAUAGAAUGUGUAAAGAAAGUUAAUUUUUUUAUUAGACAAAUAAAAAAUAACCCAUUUCAACACUUCCGAAAAAUUUUCAAACGGCCGUUAACAUUUAGUGAUGAAAAUAUUUGAUUUCAUAUAGUUUAAUAAUUAAAAUAAAAAUAAUUAAAAAUUUAGUAAUCAAAGUAAAACACAAGUGAUAUUAUUCUAGUGAUCAUUUCUGUACUUGACCCUAAUUUUUUUUUCAAAACACUGUUAAAAAACGAUUAAUUUCUCGUUUUGGCCGGAGUUAAAAUUUUUAAUAUAUUUGUUUUUAUUAAAUUUAAAAAUUAUAAUUUUACAUAAUAUAUUUUUGAUAGAAUACAUAUGAUAUAAUUUUAAUCAGUGACACCUGUUAAAGCUUGUUAGAUCUCCUGUAUCUCUUUCAAUCUGGUGGUAAAUGAAGCAAUCAAUGAGUAUUACAACCAGCCACAUGUCAUUCAAUUCACAUUAUAUCAAUCUUUUCCCUUUUCUCUCAUUUUGGUAGUUAAUUCCUUUUUUUGUCAUCGAAAUUAUAUUUUUUUCUCAAAUUGAUAAUUUCCUUAAUCCGUUAAGUUUGUUAAAAGAAACCUUAAUCUUAUUUAAAUUAUAUCUUUUUUUUUUUAUUUUGAUACUUAAACAUUUUUGUCACAUGUGGUAUGUAAUUUAUUUUUUCUUAAGUUGUUAGUUUAAUUAUUACUCAAAUAGUUAAGUCUAUUUAAAAAAAGAUAACUAUUUAAAAAUUACCAUAUUCGAACUAGCUAGGCCAUUAGUUCCUGGUUUAAUCAGUUUAUCUAGUUUGAUGAAAUCAAUUAUUAAAAAUUCAUAAAAAUAAAAAUGUUAAAAAAUAGAGAAAACUAGCUCAACUAGUUUUUUUUUUAAGCUCGACUCAAUCAAUCUGUAUCAGUUUGUAGGUUAAUCGGUUCAAGCCCUAUCUCCAAACUAGUAUCCCAGUUGGUUCCUAGUAUUAAGGGUGAGCAAAAUUUGAAUCGACUCGAAAAAAUUUAAAAAAGUUCAAAUUUUGAAUUAUUUGAAUCGAGUUAAUCGAAUCAACUCGAUUUUUUUUUAAUUUCAAGUUCGAGUCGAGUUGAGUUUUUGAAUUCAAAUGACUCGAAUAAUUCGAUUAAGCCGAAUACCAAACUAUAAUAUUUUACAUUUUACCUCAAACCCCAAACCCUUUUACUUUUCCCCCAAAACUUUACUCAUUCCUCCUUGUCUGCCCCUGUAACGCCCCAAAUUUUGAAUUGUUACUGUUAGUUUCUAUUUAUAAGUAAGUAUUUGCUUCAGUGGUUAAGUGUUAUGUGUUGGUGUUUGGAUCGGGGGUUCAAGUUACACUUUUAGAGAAUUUUAUUAUUCUUUUGUUUCAACUCUUAUCCUUGAAUGCUUGAAUUAAGUUUGUAUCUGCAUUAAUUUGUGUCAAGAAUGAGUCUUCUAGUUUAAUGGUUAAGUUUUGUAUUACCUAUGGUCUCGUGUUCGAGUCUCUGCGUAGGCAAUAAAGAAAUAUUUUGGCAUGCUAUCGGGAAAUCAGUUUUAUUUUAAUAAUUAUUUUUAUUUAAAACUUAUUUUUAGUUUUUUUUAUUUUGGUUCUUCUCCUUCCUUACUGUUCAUUUCCUUCUUCUUUUUUCUCCUUUUGUAACACCCCUAACUCGAAUCCGUCGCUGGAACAGGGUUAGGAGUAUUAUUGAAGUUUACAAUUUAAACAGGCAGAAAAAUUAAACAUUUCAUAACAUAUAGCAUUCAUGUUAGAAACCAAUCAUAAUUAUGCAUAUUGUCCCUAAUACGAGCCCUCGAGGCCCAAAAUACACCUUAGAAAUAAUUCGGGACUAAAUUGAAAAUUCGGAGCAUUUUUUAGAAACUUAUAAAAUUUUUAAAACUACAGGGGUCACAUGGCCGUGUGGCUAGGUUGUGUGACUCAUAUGGCCAACAGACACGCCCAUGUCUUAGACCGUGCGGGUAUUCGAAAUAGGGACACACGGUCGUGUCCCAGCCAGUGUCCAUGCCCGUGUAACUCACUAACUUGGGCCACACGGUCAAGCCAUACGCCCGUGUGCCAGGCAUUGUGAGCAUACUAACUUGCAUUCUUUAAAAGAUACAGGGGACACACGGCCAUGUCACCUGACCGUGUGUGACACACGCCCGUGUCUCUGCCCGUGUGGACAAAAAUAGGCUAUUUUUCAAGUCAUAAAUAUUCAUGUAUUCUUUAAAAGAUACAGGGGACACACGCCCGUGUCUCUGCCCGUGUCUCUGCCCAAUUUGGUACCAACCUAAACACAACAAUUUGCAUAUAACCAAGUCAUAAAUAGGCAUCCAAAACCAGCCAAAAUCAAGCUUAAAACAUGUAAUAUCAUCACAUACAACCAAUAUGCCCUUAGGCACCUCAAAUGACAACUUAUAAUAUUAAUAUUCAUGUAUUCAAUAUAGCCAAAUGUAUAACUCACUUAUAUGCAUAUUUUCAUCCAAAGUUUAUUAAGCAAAUUUACAUCAUUUCUUACCAAAUUACUUACCUUCCAAAACAUAUUAUUUGGUGCUAAAAUGUAUUUAACAUACUAACAUAUUUAACUUAUAUGCCUUACAUAUCCAGACACCAAUUCAUGAUCAAUUCUUCACAUUCCAAAACACAUAUAUGAAAUGCACAUUAGGUUACCUUUUUACCACUCUUUAUUCAAUCAUGAACCAAACUACAUGUCAACCAUAAUAAGCAAAAUAUGCACAUAUCCAAAAUUCCAUAACACAAACAAAACAAAUGGCUAAUCUCAACAAAACACAUAUAAGCCAACAUUGGCCAAACUAAUCUAUACAUGCCAUUAUAACCGAAAUUAAACAACCGAAUGUACCAAAAGAGCCAAUGGAUAGUGUGAUAUAGCUCCGACAAGCUUUCAACCAGAACGAGCUUUCGAAUCACUAAAAACACAGAAAAUAACACAGAGUAAGCAUUCAAGCUUAGUAAGUUCAUAUAGCAUAUAAUUUAACUUACCAUUUAGUCACAUUUAAGGUAAGCAUACAAAACAUAUCCAAACUCAAUUAGGAUAAAAGCCUCAACACAUAUCCUCAUCAACCAUGUUAGUCAUGUAAUUCAUAUAAAUAUCAAGAAACAUGUAUGAGCUCAACAAUAAUCAAACUUGCAUGUACAUAUAAUUUCCACAUCAUGUAUUUACAUAUCAUGUACAAAUCAUUUUCAUAUAUCUCAUGUAAAUACAUGUAGUAGUUUGUAUUGAACUCAUGUAAUAUCAUAACAGAACAGUGCCCGUUGAACCAUUUAGAUUAUUGUUGGAUACGCGGAUAGUACACAUGAGGUGUACUGAACUGUAAUUCAUCAAUUCAUGUACAUGUAUGCUCAUAUGAGCUAUAAACAGUAAGCUCCUCUGAGAUGAAUAACAAUAAGCUUGUACGAGCUGAAUAUCGGUAAGCUCAUAUGAGCUGAGUAUCGGUAAGCUCAUAAGAGCUGAAAUCGAUAACCCUAAUGACAUGUUUACCAAGCCAUGACAUUCCACUAACACAUUUAACCUUUAAAAUUAUUUCAAUUUACAAGUUUAAGAAAGAACAUAAAAGAUGAUACUUGGCUUUAUUUUACUAAAUUUUGUUAUUUACUUAAUUACUUAUUUAACCUUUAAAAUCAUUUCAAUUUACAAGUUUACUAAGCCAUGACAUUCCACUAACACAUUUAAGGGUUAUUUACCAUAUAAGGACCUCUACUUUAAAUUUUUAUAGCUAUUUAAUACCUUUAGCUAUUAGAACUUUACUUUUACACUUUACGCGAUUUAGUCAUUUUUAUCAAAUUGAACAUGUAAACGGUAAAAUUUCUUAACGAAAUUUUCAUAUGGUAAUAUUAUCAUGUUUUCGACCAUAAAAUAAUAAUAAAAUAAAAUUUUUUACUUCAUAUUUGUGGUCCCAAAACUACUAUUCUGAUUUCACUGAAAAUGGGUUGUUACACCUUUCUUGCUUGAUUGCUUCCGUAAGUUUGCUAUCGUGCUUAAUUGGGCAUUCUGUGUGGUUUCUUACAUUGAUUGCAAGGAUAUUGCGUAAGUUAUGUUGUUGUUUUUUACCUAUUUUUUCUAGACUUCGUCUGUUUCGUCGAGGUUAGAUAUUACUGUUAAUGGUUGUAAAAUCUCGUUAAUAGUUCCAAUGGAUCUUCUUUUAGGAAAAGGUUUCAAAAGUAACAUUUCCCUGUGAGAUUAGGUCCGAAUUGUUGUUGCUUGCUUGUCAGUAAUUGAAAAUUUCUAUUUUGGAUAGCUGCGUCGAAGUUUUCGACGAACGUUAGUUUUGAGUGCUAAUUUUGGCAUUUUGAGUUGAUUUAGUCAUUUAAUUCGUCAAUUAAUUGUCGUUUUAGGUUUCAGAUUCUUGUGUGUUGCUUCUACAUCGAAACUACAUCAAGUGUGUAACGAAAACUCAUUUUUCUAUGAUUUACGAAUGCUAGAAAACAUGGCUGUUAAUCACACGACCGUGUGUUAGGCCAUGUAACUUACUGUUUAUGUAUUAAAGUCACCGAGCCAAGGACGUGGGCGUGUGUCCUAGUCGUGUAACUUACUAUUUGUGGAUUGGAGUCACACAGGCUAGGGACACGUUUGUGUGUCCAGACUGUGUGAAGGAAAUUUUAUGAAUUGAGUCACACAAGCGUGUGCUUGACUAUGUCAUAGACCGUGUAACUCACUUUUUUGAGCCACACGAUCGUGUGCCAGGCCGUGUGAUAGAUCGUGUGCUACACGGGCCAGCCUUCCGGGACAUGUGAAUCCACACAAGUGUGUGGGUCAAAAUUUCAAAUUUUUUAUUAGGGCCGUAAACAUCAUUCCAGUCAAACGUAGGCCUACUGUAGGGUCUGGAUGAUCUGAUUUGGGUUAUAAAACCCAUUGACUAGUUAUCUGUUUCUGUAUAAACUGUUAUUUUAUAUACAUCAUAGAAUUGUAAACUAGAGAGUAGUUGUAUUCUGUAUUAAUUGAGUAUAACCUGAAAUUUGUAACAUCGUAUGCUUAUAUCUGUAUCUGUAACAUUGCAUCUGCAUUGGGGUUGGGAUUGAAUAAGGAGGAAGUUAUGGCAGUUAAAUAAUCUGCUAAGACUGGUGGCUAAGACACGUAAAUGUAUCUAAUUUUGGUGACUUUCGCAUUCUGUCCUAGCAAUUAGUCUGCAACCUUUUGAACGUGACAUAUGGUCACUAUGUGGUGUGUAGGGACGAUACCCUUUUUGGUGUGUAGGGUUGGAUGCAGAUGGUGUGUAAUUGACAUAUUCUACUCUAUUUCCGUAUAUAAUUCUGAGAACUGUUCUAACUUUAAGAAAUUGAAGAUCUAUUUUGUUGUUUCACUUAAUAAUAAUAUAAGUUAUACGCUAUGUAUAACACCCUUUACCCGAGACCGUGGUCGGAGUCGAGCAUGAGGUGUUACUUGACUUAACUUAAAAGUUCAGGGCAUAAAAAUUUACUUUCAAAAUUAAUUUCACCAUUCACAAUAAAGUUGUCCACCUGAGCAGCAGUCACUAAAUUAAUUAUAACUCAAGCUAAGAAACUCGAAAUUUAGAUUCGUAAAUUUUCCCUGAAACUAGACUCAUAUAUCUAUUCACAAAAAUUUUUCAGAAUUUUUUAUUUGACCAAUUAGUACAGUUUAUUAGUUGAAGUCUCCCCAGUUUCACUAAUCGACUAUCCUGACCUCUCGUCACUAAAAUUCAAUUAUCUCAUUAUACAGACUUGACAUGCUGAUUCCACUUAUUUAUACUUAAAAUAUACUCAUUAAGGAAUUUAAAAAUAUAAUUUAUAACUCAUAAUUCUAUUUGUACAAUUUUUAAUGAAUUUCUAAAGUCAGAACAGGGGACUUCAGAAUCAUUCUGACUCUGUCUCACUAAAAUUAAAAUAUCUAAAAGUAUAUAACUCUUUUGCUUACUCUAUUGCUUUCAUGUGAAAGUAGACUCAUUCAGAUUUAAUUUCAUCUCUCGCUAAACAUAUAAUUCUAUUUCUACAAUUUUUGGUAAUUUUUCAAAGUUACAUCAAUGCUGCUGCCCAAAAAUAGUUCCAUUGAAAUUUUUAAAAAAAAAUUCAAUAUAACCCCUUUAUAAUUAUCUAACCUUCCCUGCAAAUUUCAAAUCACAACCAAUUUCAGUAUUUCAACUACUUCACUUAAAUACUAAUGAAGUUCAACUAAUCAACCAUUUCAAACUAAAAACAUGUAUAGUUCAAUGUUUAACACAACCAUCACAUUCAAAUUUAUUCAUUCUAUUACUUUUUACUUCAAUUCCCUAUACAUGUCAUAUAAAUCCAAAAAGUUGUUUAACAAAAUCUACAGGAGUAAAUCUGGAUAGUGUGAUUCUUGGUGUAGAUCUGAUCCUCCGAAUGUAUAAAUACGUCAAUCUACAAGAAUCAAUAAACACACAAUUAAGCGUAUAGAAAGCUUAGUAAGUUCAUAGGCACCAAACAUAAAUCUUACCAAACAUUUAUACACUUAUACAUUAUACACCAUUACUAAGUUUACCUGUCAACCACAAUCUUUGGUGAGUUCCUUGGUAUAAACUCACUACUACUUAUUCUUUUACCAUAAUUCCUUUGGGCCCAUUUGUCACUUACCAUCCUUGAUCAAAAUUAAGGAACGGUUACGGAAAAUUGAGUACUUCACUUUCACUUUGCCAUAGUAUAACUAUGGUCUUACGUAUGAUCAAACAUCACUUGUCCUUGAUAAGAUAAGUGUAGCUAGGCAACCACUUAUCACUUUGUCACUUGAUCAGAUAAGUGCAGCUAAAGCUACCAUUUAUCACUUUAUCACCACUUAUCACUUGUUCUUGAUUAGAUAAGUGUAGCUAAAGUUACCACUUAUCACUUUGUCACCACUUAUCACUUGUUCCUAAUCAGAUAAGUGUAGCUAAAACUACCACUUAUCACUUUGUCACUUGAUCAGAUAAGUGUAGCUAAGCUAUCACUUAUCACUUUGUCACUUGAUCAGAAGUACUCAAAUCCGGUGUUCUGCUCAAUUUGAUCAUUUAUUCAGUUUUCACAUUUUUAUUUUAUUCUCAUUUCAUCAAUAAAUAUAUAUAUUUCAUCAUACAUUAUAUAAUUCAUGAAAUUAACAUUUAAUCAUUAAAUUUUAGCCAUAUGAACUUACCUGGGUUGAUUUGCUGAAUUUGUAAAAGUUUAGGGACUAAUCAGCUACUUUUUUUUUCCUCGACUUGUUUCGGGUUCUCAAUAUGAUUCAAAUAUAUGAAAAACCAACUUGGAGGGACUCUUCAAUGGUGUUUUUUGCUAAAAAAUAUGAGGAAUUGCCUAGAAACACUUUUAGUUAAGAUUUUUAUUUGUUAUUUUUUACAAAAUUUCCAAUUUUGCCCUUAUUACAUCACUUUUUCAAAUUUUUCUUCUCUUAUGUCGUCUCAACUAUUCCAUAUUGGCAUAUUUAUGCCUUAAGUCCCUCCUUAUUUACCACUUAAGCUAUUUAAUCACUUUUAACAAAUUUUACAUUAUUUUCAGUUUAAUCCUUUUUAAUUAAUUAACCACCCAAACGUUAGAAUUUUCUAACGAAAAUUUAAUACCAACUCAAUGACACUCCAUAAAUGUUUCUAAAAAUAUUUAUGGCUCGAUUUAUGAGGUUGAGGUUUCAAUACCUCAUUUUCGAUUCUAAUUAUUUUAAUAUUUAUUCUUAGUACAUUAUUCACUAUUUCAAAAAUUUUCCUAACUUCGCAUUUAACUUAUACUCACUAAAUUAAUAAUAUUUUCUACUCAUUUGUCAAAUUUAAUGAUCUCGAAUUACCAUUCCGACACCACUGAAAAUUCAGGCCAUUACAACUCUCCCCCCAUUUUGGAAAUUUCAUCACCGAAAUUUCGUACCUGAAAAUAAAUUCGGAUACUGAAAUCUCAGCAAUUCCUCUGUUUCCCAGGUUGCCUCCUCAGAUCCAUGUCGAUUCCAUAACACCUUAACUAGUGGUACAUGUUUAUUCCUCAACUCUUUAACCUUCUGAGCUAAAAUUUUCACCGGUUCCUCUGAAUAAGUCAUGUCAGGUUGAAGCUCUAUUUCCGUAUGAGGAAUUACAUGUGAUGGAUCUGAUCUGUACCGUCUCAACAUAGACACAUGAAACACAUUAUGAAUCUUUUCAAGUUCCGGGGGCAAAGCUAAUCUAUAGGUUACCGGACCGAUUCUUUCAAUGAUUUCAUACGGCCCGAUAAAUCGUGGGCUGAGUUUCCCCUUUUUGCUGAACCGCAAAACUUUCUUCCACGGUGACACUUUCAAAAAUACACGAUCACCCACAUUAAACUCUAUAUCCCUUCUCUUCAAAUUUGCAUAUGAUUUUUGCCGAUCGGAGGUAGCUUUUAAACAAUCUCGAAUAAUACGAACUUUUUCUUCAGUUUCCUGAGUCAAUUCCACUCCCACUAGUUUCGAUUCACUUAAUUCAGACCAAUAUAAUGGAGUUCUACACUUUCUUCCAUACAAAGCUUCAAACGGUGCCAUUUUAAUGCUAGUUUGAUAACUAUUAUUAUAAGCAAAUUCGGCUAAAGGUAAAUACCUUUCCCAGCUACCGCCGAACUCAAGUAUACAACACCUUAACAUAUCUUCUAAAAUCUGAAUCACUCGCUCUGACUGCCCAUCUGUCUAGGGAUGAAAAGCUGUGUUGAAAUUUAAUUUGGUGCCUAAAGCUUCCUGUAAUUUACUCUAAAAUCUCGAGGUAAAUCUCGGAUCUUGAUCUGAAAUAAUAGAUGUCGGUACCCCAUGUAACCUCACUAUCUCAGACACAUAUAACUCCGCUAACUUUUCAAGCUGAUAAUCUGCUCUGACUGGAAUAAAAUGUGCUGACUUAGUUAACCGAUCAACAAUCACCCAUAUUGAAUGUUUCUUCUUCAGAGUUACUAGUAAUCCAGAUACAAAAUCCAUCGUAACAUGUUCCCAUUUCCAAUCUGGAAUCAUAAUGGGCUGUAACAACCCUGUCGGCACUUGAUGCUCAGCUUUCACCUGUUGACAGAUCAAACAUCUUGCUACAUACUCAAAGAUUUCCCGUUUCAUUCCGGGCCACCAAUACAUUUUCUUCAAAUCACAAUACAUUUUUGUACUACCCGGGUAAAUAGAACACAUACUACUGUGAGCCUCUGAUAAAAUAUCAUUUUUCAAGUUUAAAUUAUUCGGAAUACAUAUUCUAUUACGAUAAUAUAACAUACCAUUUUCAUCAAUGGAGUAUUCUGAGCUUAACUUAUCUUGAACCAUCUGUCGCUUUAUCAUCAAUUUUGGGUCAUCAUCCUAUAACUCCCGAAUCCGUUGAAAGAACACGGGUUUAGCCUUUAAUUCUGCUAGUACAGAACCAUCCUCAUUAAUAGAUAAAUGAGCAUUCAAUGCCCGUAGUGCAAAUAAUGAUGAUUUCCGACUAAGCGCAUCUGCUGCGGCAUUUGCUUUCCCUGGGUGAUAGUCAAUGACAAGAUCAUAAUCUUUCAGCAACCCCAACCAUCGUCUCUGUGUCAAAUUUAACUCUUUCUGAGUCAUUAAAUACUUCAAGCUUUUAUGAUCAGUAUACACGUAACAUUUCUCACCAUAUAAGUACUCUCCAUAUCUUCAAAGCAAACACGAUCGCUGCCAAUUCCAAAUCAUGUGUAGGAUAAUUCUUGUCGUGCGGUUUCAGUUGCCAAGAAGCAUAUGCCACCACUUUGCCUGACUGAAUAAGUACACAGCCCAACCCAUUUACAGAUGCAUCACUAUAUACUACAAACGGUACACCCGAUUCUGGUUGAGUCAACACUGGAGCCUCUGUCAACAUCUUUUUCAACUGAUCGAAACUCCGCUGACAUUCAUCUAACCAUAUAAAUUCAACAUUCUUUUGUAGCAAUCGAGUUAACGGUAAGGUAAUCAUUGAGAAAUCUUUGACAAAUCGACGAUAAUAACCUGCCAAUCGUAGAAAACUCUGCACUUCAGUCACAUUCUUCGGAACUUUCCAAUUUAUCACUGCCGCUACCUUACUUGGAUCCACUCUUAUUCCAUCAGCUGAUACAAUAUGACCCAAAAAUGCAACUUCAUGGAGCCAAAAUUCACAUUUGCUGAAUUUGGCAUACAAUUGUUUCUCCCACAAAGUCUGUAAUACAAUCAUUAGAUGUUGUGCAUGUUCGGACUCUGUCUUUGAAUAAAUCAAUAUAUCGUCAAUGAACACAACCACAAAUCUAUCCAAAUAUGACUGAAAAAUUCUAUUCAUCAAAUCCAUAAAAGCAGCAGGGGCAUUGGUUAAACCAAAUGGCAUCACCAAAAAUUCAAAAUGACCAUAUCGAGUUCGAAAGGCAGUUUUCGGCACUUCACACUCUUUAACUUUCAACUGAUAAUACUCGGAUCGAAGAUCUAUCAUGGAAAAUACUGUAGCACCUUUCAACUGAUCAAACAAAUCAUCAAUAUGAGGCAAAGGAUUUUUAUUCUUUACUGUUACCUUAUUCAACUGUCUGUAAUCUAUACACAGUCUUAAAAAACCGUCCUUCAUUUUCACAAACAAGACAGGUGUACCCCAGGGCGACAUACUCGGUCUGAUGAACCCUUUAUCUAAUAACUCCUGCAGCUGCGCCUUCCGUUCUUUUAACUCGACUGGAGCCAUUCUGUAUGGUGUCAUUGAGAUAGGAGUUGUUCCGGGGAUCACAUCAAUUACAAAUUCAACUUCUCUAUCAGGUGGUAGACCGGGUAACUCUUCAGGGAACAUAUCAGGGAAUUCAUUCACCAUUGGCACUUGUUCGAGCUUCAAACCAGAACCCUGAGUAUCCAGGAUAUAGGCCAAGAAUGCUUCGUUGCCUUUGUGUAAUAACCUCUGAGCAGAGAGAGCUAAAAUAAUUCUGACUGUAUCACCCAGAUUUUCAGACCCAACUGAGAUUAUAUCUCCCGUUUGACAUUUCAAACUGAUUUGUUUAUCACGAUAAUUCACUACCGCAUCAUGUCUCAUUAACCAGUCCAUCCCCAGAAUAAUGUCAAAUUCCCGAAAAGGUAACAACAUCAAAUCAGCGAGGAAUUCAUAGCCUUUCACUUUCAGUGGACAAUUACGACAUAUCAAAUUAACCAUCACACUUUGACCUAAUGGGUUUGUGACUUGUAUAUCAAAUUCAGUGGACUCAACAGAUAAUUUCUUUUUAGAUGCUAACAUAGUGCAAAUAUAUGAAUGAGUAGAUCCAGGGUCUAUCAAUGCAUAAACAAUAACAUCAUAAAGAUAGAAAGUACCAGCAAUUACAUCAGGAGCCGUAGCCUCUUUCCUUGCUCGAAUGGCGUAGGUACGUGCUGGUGCUCUAUUCUCUGAUCGACCAACUGAUUCCCUCGUACCCGAACGGGUAGUCCCUGUAGCACUGCUCUGGCCCGAACGUCUACUUUUUUGGGGAAUGGUUCUCUGUAUUUCUUUCUGUUCCACUUCAUCUUUUUACAGUCGGGAACAAUCUCGAAUAAGAUGAUUAGUACCCUCACAUUUUUAACAAGCCCCUAUCUUGGUCCUGCAUUCUCUGAAAUGAUAUCUUCCACAAUAUUGACACUUAGGCCGGGGAGCAUUCUGAACACUGCUCACACUUGCUGGAGGUCUAUCGAAUACCCUGAAAUCAGAUUGUCUUGGUCUAUCUCUACCCGAUCUUCUCGACAGUGAUGUAGUUCGACUAAUUUCUUCUCUAGAUUUGUUCACUGGUAAAUCUAAAAAUGACUUAGAAGCACCUCUUUUGAAUGGCUCUUUACUUUUUCGAUCCCGCUACAUUUUUCUGUUGUAUACUUCUUCGAGCUUUUGAGCACGGUCUGACAGAACAGGGAACUCUCGUAUUUCAUUACCCCCAAUCAUCAUUCUAAUUUCAUCAUUUAACCCUUCUUCAAACCUGAUACACAUUUCUUCUUUAAUAAGUACAAUGUCUCGGGCAUAUUUGCUGAGGUAGACAAAUUCUCUUUCGUAUUCAGCCACUGAUUUAUCUCCCUGGCGUAGGUCGAGAAAUUCCCUUUUAUUUUUAUCCAAAUACCGUCUGCCCACAUAUUUCUUCUUAAAUUCAUUUUGGAAAAAUUCCCAAUAAAUUUUCUCUGUCGGAACCACAUCCUCAAUCGUCUCCCACCAACUAUAAGCUUCUUCUUUCAAUAGAGACACAACACAACUCAAAUAAUCAUCUAGUGAGCAAACCAUUUCUUUAAAAAUUCUUAUUAAACUCUGUAACCAAUAUUCAGCUUUGACGGGAUCUUUAUCAGUCCUUCCCCGAAAUUCUUCGGCUCCAAGUUUUUUAAGCCUUUCCAAUGGAGAACGCUUUCUGGAUUCAGUCGUUGUAAAAGGUGGAGGAGCAACCGGGUGUGCCACCGAUGGAGCAGUAGGGGGAGGAGGUGGUUCAGCCUGAUUUCUUUCUUGCCUCAUUUCAGUAUAUCAUUGAUUCAUAAUCCCAUAAAUCAUAUUCUUUAACUCUUGCUCUCGCAUUUGGGAGAUCGGAACAUCACUGCUUGUUCUUUGUUUAGAAUUAUGUAUUCUACUAUUAACUUCUUCUUUCUCAGUACGUUUAGGUAUAUCUGACAUCUCCAUAACCGGAGAAUAUCUACUAUUAACUUCUUCUUACUGGAUUCAGUCGUUGUAAGAGGUGGAGAAGCAACCGGGGGUACCACCGAUGGAGCAGUAGGCAGAGGAGGUGGUUCAGCCUGAUUUCUUUCUUGCCUCAUUUCAGUAUACCACUGAUUCAUAAUCCCAUAAAUCAUAUUCUUUAACUCUUGCUCCCGUAUUUGGGAGAUCAGAACACCACUGCUUGUUCUUUGUUCAGAAUUAUGUAUUCUACUAUUAACUUCUUCUUGCUCAGUACGUUCAGGUAUAUCUGACAUCUCUAUAACCGGAGAAUAUCUAUAAAAAUAACAAAGAUUAGAUCGCAUCAUACGCAUUACACUAUCACAGAUUUAUAUGGCAUGUAUUUCUAAACACUUUACACUUUACACAUAUUCCGAGAACCGGCUAAACCUGGAUCUGAUACCAAUAAAAUGUAACACCCUUUACCUGAGACCGUUUCCAGAGUCGAGCAUGAGGCGUUACUUGACUUAACUUAAAAGUUCAGGGCAUAAAAAAUUACUUUCAAAAUUAAUUUCACCAUUCACAAUAAAGCUGUCCACCCACGCAGCAAUCUCUAAAUUAAUUAUAACUCAAGAUGCGAAACUCGAAAUUUAGAUCUGUAUAUUUUACCUAAAACUAGACUCAUAUAUCUAUUCACUACAAAAUUUUCAGACUUUUUGGUUUGGCAAAUUAGUACAGUUUAUUAAUUGAAGUCUCCCCUGUUUCACUAAUAGACUAUCCUGACCUCUCGUCACUAAAAUUCAAUUAUCUCAUUAUACAAACUUGACUUGGUGCUUUCAAUUAUUUUUACUUAAAAUAGACUCAUUAAGGAAUUUAAACAUAUAAUUUAUAACUCAUAAUUCAUUUUGUACAAUUUUUAAUGAAUUUCUAAAGUCAAAAUAGGGGACUUCAAAAUCAUUCUGACUCUGUCUCACUAAAAUUCAAAUAUCUAAAAGUAUAUAACUCUUUUGCUUACUCUAUUGCUUUAAUGUGAAAGUAGGCUCAUUCAGCUUUAAUUUCAUCUCUCACUCAACUUAUAAUUCUAAGUCCACAUUUUUGGUGAUUUUUCAAAGUUACAUCAAUACUGCUGUCCAAAAACUGUUCCAUUGAAAUUUUUUUAAAAAAUUUCAAUAUAACCCUUUUAUAAUUAUCUAACCUUCCCUGCAAAUUUUAAAUCACAACCAAUUUCAGUAUUUCAACCACUUCACUUAAAUACUAAUGAAGUUCAACCAAUCAACCAUUUCAAACUAAAAACAUGCAUAGUUCAAUGUCUAACACAACCAUCACAUUCAAAUUUACUUUGCAUAUUUAGAUAUUCAUUCUUUUACUUUUUACUUCAAUUCCCUAUACAUGUCAUAUAAAUCCAAAAAGUUGUUUAACAAAAUCUACCGGAGUAAAUCUUGAUAGUGUGAUUCUUGGUGUAGAUCCGAUCCUCUGAAUGUAUAAAUACGUCAAUCUACAAGAAUCAAUAAACGCACAAGUAGGCUUAAUAAACACACAAGUAAGCUUAUAGAAAGCUUAGUAAGUUCAUAGGCACCAAACAUAAAACUUACCAAACAUUUAUACACUUAUACAUUAUACACCAUUACUAAGUUUACCUGUCAACCACAUUCUUUGGUGAGUUCCUUGGUAUAAACUCACUAAUACUUAUUCUUUUACCAUAAUUCCUUUGGGCCCAUUUGUCACUUACCAUCCUUGAUCAAAAUUAAGGAACGGUUACGGAAAAUUGAGUACUUCACUUUCACUUUGCCAUAGUAUAAAUAUGGUCUUACGUAUGAUCACUUAUCACUUGUCCUUGAUCAGGUUAGUGUAGCUAGGCUACCACUUAUCACUUGUUCCUGAUCAGAUAAGUGUAGCUAAGCUAUCACUUGUCACUUUGUCACUUGAUCAAAAGUACUCAAAUCCGGUGUUCCGCUCAAUUUGAUCACUUAUUCAGUUUGCGCAUUUUUAUUUUAUUCUCAUUUCAUCAAUAAAUAUAUAUAUAUAUUUCACCAUACAUUAUAUAAUUCAUGAAAUUAACAUUUAAUCAUUAAAUUUCAUCCAUAUGAACUUACCUAGGUCGAUUUUCUGAAUUUGUAAAAGUUCAAGGACUAAUCAGCUACUUUUUCUUUUCCUCGACUUGUUUCGGGUUCUCGAUAUGAUUCAAAUAUAUGAAAAACUAGCUUGGAGGGACUCUUCAAUGGCGUUUUUUGCUGAGAAAUAUGAUGAAUUGCCUAGAAACUCUUUUAGUUAAGAUUUUUAUUUGUUAACUUUUACAAAAUUUCUAAUUUUGCCCUUAUUACAUCACUUUUUCAGAUUUUUCUUCUCUUAUGCCGUCUCAACUAUUCCAUAUUAGCAUAUUUAUGCCUUAAGUCCCUCCUUAUUUACCACUUAAGCUGUUUAAUCACUUUUAACAAAUUUUACAUUAUUUUCAGUUUAGUCAUUUUUAAUUAAUUAACCACCAAAACGUUAGAAUUUUCUAACGAAACUUUAAUACCAACUCAAUGACACUCUAUAAAUGUUUCUAAAAAUAUUUAUGGCUCGAUUGAUGAGUUUGAGGUUUCGAUACCUCAUUUUCGACUCUAAUUAUUUUAAUAUUUAUUCUUAGUACACUAUUCACUAUUUCAAAAAUUUUCCUAACUUCGCAUUUAACUUAUACUCACUAAAUUAAUAAUAUUUUCUACUCAUUUGUCAAAUUUAAUGAUCUCGAAUUACCAUUCCGACACCACUGAAAAUUCAGGCCAUUACAACUCUCCCCCCAUUUUGGAAAUUUCGUCCCCGAAAUUUCGUACCUGAAAAUAAAUUCGAAUACUGAAAUCUCAUCAAUUCCUCUGUUUCCCAGGUUGCCUCCUCAGAUCCAUGUCGAUUCCAUAACACCUUAACUAGUGGUACAUGUUUAUUCCUCAACUCUUUAACAUCCCAAGCUAAAAUUUUCACCGGUUCCUCUGAAUAAGUCAUGUCAGGUUGAAGCUCUAUUUCCGUAUGAGGAAUUACAUGUGAUGGAUCUGAUUUGUACCGUCUCAACAUAGACACAUGAAACACAUUAUGAAUCUUUGCAAGUUCCGGGGGCAAAGCUAAUCUAUAGGUUACCAGACCGAUUCUUUCAAUGAUUUCAUACGGCCCGAUAAAUCGUGGGCUGAGUUUUCCCUUUUUGCUGAACCGCAAAACUUUCUUCCACGGUGACAGUUUCAAAAAUACACGAUCACCCACAUUAAACUCUCUAUCCCUUCUCUUCAAAUCUGCAUAUGAUUUUUGCUGAUCGGAGGCAGCUUUUAAGCAAUCUCGAAUAAUACGAACUUUUUCUUCAGUUUCCUGAGUCAAUUCCACUUCCACCAGUUUCAAUUCACUUAAUUUAGACCAAUAUAAUGAAGUUCUACACUUUCUUCCAUACAAAGCUUCAAACGGUGCCAUUUUAAUGCUAGUUUGAUAACUAUUAUUAUAAGCAAAUUCGGCUAAAGGUAAAUACCUUUCCCAGCUACCGCCGAACUCAAGUAUACAACACCUUAACAUAUCUUCUAAAAUCUGAAUCACUCGCUCUGACUGCCCAUCUGUCUGGGGAUGAAAAGCUGUGUUGAAAUUUAAUUUGGUGCCUAAAGCUUCCUGUAAUUUACUCUAAAAUCUCGAGGUAAAUCUCGGAUCUCGAUCUGAAAUAAUAGAUGUCGGUACCCCAUGUAACCUCACUAUCUCAGACACAUAUAACUCCGCUAACUUUUCAAGCUGAUAAUCUGCUCUGACUGGAAUAAAAUGUGCUGAUUUAGUUAACCGAUCAACAAUCACCCAUAUCGAAUCUUUCUUCUUCGAAGUUACUGGUAAUCCGGAUACAAAAUCCAUCGCAACAUGUUCCUAUUUCCACUCUGGAAUCAUAAUGGGCUGUAACAACCCUGUCGGCACUUGAUGCUCAGCUUUCACCUGUUGGCAGAUCAAACAUCUUGCUACAUACUCACAGAUUUCCCAUUUAAUUCCGGGCCACCAAUACAUUUUCUUCAAAUCACAAUACAUUUUUGUACUAACCCGGUGAAUAGAACACAUACUACUGUGAGCCUCUGAUAAAAUAUCAUUUUUCAAGUUUAAAUUAUUCGGAAUACAUAUUCUAUUACGAUAAUAUAACAUACCAUUUUCAUCAAUGGAGUAUUCUGAGCUUAACUUAUCUUGAACCAUCUGUCGUUUUAUCAUCAAUUUUGGGUCAUCAUCCUGUAACUCUUGAAUCCAUUGAAAGAACACGGGUUUAGCCUUUAAUUCUGCUAGUACAGAACCAUCCUCAUUAAUAGAUAAAUGAGCAUUCAAUGCCCGUAGUGCAAAUAAUGAUGAUUUCUGACUAAGUGCAUCUGCUGCGGCAUUUGCUUUCCCUGGGUGAUAGUCAAUGACAAGAUAAUAAUCUUUCUGCAACUCUAACCAUCGUCUCUAUCUCAAAUUUAACUCUUUCUGAGUCAUUAAAUACUUUAAGCUUUUAUGAUCAGUAUACACGUAACAUUUCUCACCAUAUAAGUAGUGUCUCCUUAUCUUCAAAGCAAACACGAUCGCUGCCAAUUCAAAAUCAUGUGUAGGAUAAUUCUUGUCGUGCGGUUUCAGUUGCCGAGAAGCAUAUGCCACCACUUUGCCUGACUGAAUAAGUACACAGCCCAACCCAUUUACAGAUGCAUCACUAUAUACUACAAAUGGUACACCCGAUUCUGGUUGAGUCAACAUUGGAGCCUCUGUCAACAUCUUUUUCAACUGAUCAAAACUCCGCUGACAUUUAUCUGACCAUAUAAAUUCAACAUUCUUUUGUAGAAAUCGAGUCAACUGUAAGGUAAUCAUUGAGAAAUCUUUGAUAAAUCGACAAUAAUAACAUGCCAAUCGUAGAAAACUCCACACUUCAAUAACAUUCUUCGGAACUUUCCAAUUUACCAUUGCCGCUACCUUACUUGGAUCGACUCUUAUUCCAUCAGCUGAUACAAUAUGACCCAAAAAUGCAACUUCAUGGAGCCAAAAUUCUCAUUUGCUAAAUUUGGCAUACAAUUGUUUCUCUCACAAAGUCUGUAAUACAAUCCUUAGAUGUUGUGCAUGUUCGGACUCUGUCUUUGAAUAAAUCAAUAUAUCGUCAAUGAACAACCACAAAUCUAUCCAAUUAUGACUGAAAAAUUCUAUUCAUCAAAUCCAUAAAAGCAGCAAGGGCAUUGGUUAAACCAAAUGGCAUCACCAAAAAUUCAUAAUGACCAUAUCGAGUUUGGAAGGCAGUUUUCGGCACAUCACACUCUUUAACUUUCAACUGAUAAUACCCAGAUUGAAGAUCUAUCUUGGAAAAUAUUGCAGCACCUUUCAACUGAUCAAAUAAAUCAUCAAUAUGAGGCAAAGGAUAUUUAUUCUUUACUGUUACCUUAUUCAACUGCCUGUAAUCUAUACACAGUCUUAGAGAACCGUCCUUUUUUUUCACAAACAAGACAGGUGCACCCCAGGGCGACAUACUCAGUCUGAUGAACCAUUUCUCUAAUAACUCCUGUAACUGCGCCUUCAACUCUUUUAACUCGGCUGGAGCCAUUCUGUACGGUGUCAUUGAGAUAGGAGUUGUUCCGGCGAUCACAUCAAUUACAAAUUCAACUUCUUUAUCAGGUGGUAGACCGGGUAACUCUUCAGGGAACACAUUAGGGAAUUCAUUCACUACUGGCACUUGUUUGAGCUUCAAACCAGAACCCUGAGUAUCCAUGAUAUAGGCCAAGAAUGCUUCGUUGCCUUUGCGUAAUAACCUCUGAGCAGGGAGAGCUGAAAUAAUUCUGACUGUAUCACCCAUAUUUUCAGACCCAACUGAGAUUAUAUCUCCCGUUUGACAUUUCAAAUUGAUCUGUUUAUCACGACAAUUCACUACCGCAUCAUGUCUCACUAACCAGACCAUCCCAAGAAUAAUGUCAAAUUCUCGAAAAGGUAACAACAUCAAAUCAGCGGGGAAUUCAUAGCCUUUCACUUUUAAUGGACAAUUACGACAUAUCAAAUUAACCAUCACACUUUGACCUAAUGGGUUUGUGACUUGUAUAUCAAAUUCAAUGGACUUAACAAAUAAUUUCUUUUCAGAUGCUAACAUAGUGCAAAUAUAUGAAUGAGUAGAUCUAGGGUCUAUCAAUGCAUAAACAAUAACAUCAUAAAGAUAGAAAGUACCAACAAUUACAUCAGGAGCCGUAGCCUCUUCCCUUGCUCGAAUGGCGUAGGUACGUGCUGGUGCUCUAUUCUUUGAUCGACCAACUGAUUCCCUCGUACCCGAACGGGUAGUCCCUGUAGCACUGCUCUGGCCCGAAUGUCUACUUCUUUGGGGAAUGGUUCUCUGUAUCUCUUUCUGUUCCACUUCAUCUUUUUACAGUCGGGGACAAUCUCGAAUAAGAUGAUUAGUAGCCCUACAUUUUUAACAAGCCCCCAUCUUGGUCCUGCAUUCUCCGAAAUGAUAUCUUCCACAAUAUUGACACUUAGGCCGGGGAGCAUUCUGAACACCGCUCACACUUGCUGCAGGUCUAUCGAAUACCCUGAAAUCAGAUUGUCUUGGUCUAUCUCUACCCGAUCUUCCCAACAUUAAUGUAGUUCGACUAAUUUCUUCUCUAGAUUUCUUCACUGGCAAAUCUAAAAAUGACUUAGAAGCACCUCUUUUGAAUGGCUCUUUACUUUUUCGAUCCCGCUGCAUUUUUCUGUUGUAUACUUCUUCGAGCUUUUGAGCACGGUCUGACAGAACAACGAACUCUCGUAUUUCAUUACCCCCAAUCAUCAUUCUAAUUUCAUCAUUUAACCCUUCUUCAAACCUGAUACACAUUUCUUCUUUAGUAGGUACAAUGUCUCGGGCAUAUUUGCUGAGGUAAACAAAUUCUCUUUCGUAUUCAGCCACUGAUUUAUUUCCCUGGCGUAGGUCGAGAAAUUCCCUUUUAUUUUUAUCCAAAUACCGUCUGCCCACAUAUUUCUUCUUAAAUUCAUUUUGGAAAAAUUCCCAAUAAAUUUUCUCUGCUGGAACCACAGCCUCAAUCGUCUCCCACCAACUAUAAGCUUCUUCUUUCAAUAGGGACACAGCACAUCUCAAAUAAUCAUCUGGUGAGCAAACCAUUUCUUUAAAAAUUCUUAUCAAACUUUGUAACCAAUAUUCAGCUUUGACGGGAUCUUCAUUAGUCCUUCCUGAAAUUCUUCGGCUCCAAGUUUUUUAAGCUUUUCCAAUAGAGAACGCUUACUAGAUUCAGUCGUUGUAGGAGGUGGAGGAGUAACCGGGGGUACCAUCGAUGGAGCAGUAGGGGGAGGAGGUGGUUCAGCAUGAUUUCUUUCUUGCCUCAUUUCAAUAUACCACUGAUUCAUAAUCUCAUAAAUCAUAUUCUUUAAUUCUUGCUCUCGCAUUUGGGAGAUCGGAACAUCACUGCUUGUUCUUUGUUCAGAAUUAUGUAUUCUACUAUUAACUUAUUCUUACUUAGUUCGUUCAGGUAUAUCUGACAUCUUUAUAACUGGAGAAUAUCUAUAAAAAUAACAAAGAUUAGAUCGGAUCAUACGCAUCACACUAUCACAGAUUUAUAUGGCAUGUAUUUCUAAACACUUUACACUUCACACAUAUUCCGAGAACCGGCUAAACCGGGAUCUGAUACCAAUAAAAUAUAACACCCUUUACCCAAGACCGUUGCCCGAGUCGAGCAUGAGGCGUUACUUGACUUAACUUAAAAGUUCAGGGCAUAAAAAUUUACUUUCAAAAUUAAUUUCACCAUUCACAAUAAAGCUGUCCACCUGCGCAGGAGUCACUAAAUCAAUUAUAACUCAAGCUACGAAACUCAAAAUUUAGAUCCGUAAAUUUUCCCUAAAACUAGACUCAUAUAAAUAUUCACCAUAAAUUUUUAAGAAUUUUUAGUUUAUCCAAUUAGUAUAGUUUAUUAGUUUAAGUCUCCCUUGUUUCACUAAUAGACUACCCUGACCUCUCGUCACUAAAAUUCAAUUAUCUCCUUAUACAGACUUGACAUGGUGCUUCCAAUUAUUUUUACUUAAAAUAUACUCAUUAAGGAAUUUAAAAAUAUAAUUUAUAACUCAUAAUUACUUUUUUACAAUUUUUAUUGAAUUUCUAAAUUCAGAACAGGGGACUUCAAAAUCAUUCUGACCCUGUCUCACUAAAAUUCAAAUAUCUAAAAGUAUAUAACUCUUUUGCUUACUCUAUUGCUUUCAUGUGAAAGUAUACUCAUUCAGAUUUAAUUUCAUAUCUCACUUAACUUAUAAUUCUAUUUCCACUAUUUUUGGUGAUUUUUCACAGUUACAUCAAUGCUGCUGUCCAAAAACUGUUCCAUUGAAAUUUUUAAAAAAAAUUCAAUAUAACCCCUUUAUAAUUAUCUAACCUUCCCUGCAAAUUUCAAAUCACAACCAAUUUCAGUAUUUCACCUACUUCACUUAAAUACUAAUGAAGUUCAACCAAUCAACCAUUUCAAACUAAAAACAUGUAUAGUUCAAUGUCUAACACAACCAUCAUAUUCAAAUUUACUUUGCAUACUUAGUCAUUCAUUCUAUUACUUUUUACUUCAAUUCCCUAUACAUGCCAUAUAAAUCCAAAAAGUUGUUUAACAAAAUCUACCAGAGUAAAUCUAGAUAGUGUGAUUCUUGGUGUAGAUCCGAUCCUCCGAAUGUAUAAAUACGUCAAUCUACAAGAAUCAAUAAACACAUAAUUAAGCUUAUAGAAAGCUUAGUAAGUUCAUAGGCACCAAACAUAAAUCUUACCAAACAUUUAUACACUUAUACAUUAUACACCAUUACUAAGUUUACCUGUCAACCACAAUCUUUGGUGAGUUCCUUGUUAUAAACUCACUACUACUUAUUCUUUUACCAUAAUUCCUUUGGGCCCAUUUGUCACUUACCAUCCUUGAUCAAAAUUAAGGAACGGUUACGGAAAAUUGAGUACUUCACUUUCACUUUGCCAUAGUAUAACUAUGGUCUUACAUAUGAUCACUUAUCACUUGUCCUUGAUAAGAUAAGUGUAGCUAGGCUACCACUUAUCACUUUGUCACUUGAUCAGAUAAUUGUAGCUAAAGCUACCACUUAUCACUUUAUCACCACUUAUCACUUGUUCCUGAUCAGAUAAGUGUAGCUAAAACUACCACUUAUCACUUUGUCACCACUUAUCACUUGUUCCUGAUCAGAUAAGUGUAGCUAAAGCUACCACUUAUCACUUUGUCACUUGAUCAGAUAAGUGUAGCUAAGCUAUCACUUAUCACUUUGUCACUUGAUCAGAAGUACUCAAAUUCGGUGUUCCGCUCAAUUUGAUCAUUUAUUCAGUUUUCACAUUUUUAUUUUAUUCUCAUUUCAUCAAUAAAUAUAUAUAUUUCAGCAUACAUUAUAUAAUUCAUGAAAUUAACAUUUAAUCAUUAAAUUUCAGCCAUAUGAACUUACCUGGGUCGAUUUAUUGAAUUUGUAAAAGUUCAGGGACUAAUCAGCUACUUUUUCUUUUCCUCGACUUGUUUCGGGUUCUCAAUAUGAUUCAAAUAUAUGAAAAACCAGCUUGGAUGGACUCUUCAAUGGCGUUUUUUGCUGAGAAAUAUGAUGAAUUGCCUAGAAACUCUUUUAGUUAAGAUUUUUAUUUGUUAACUUUUACAAAAUUUCCAAUUUUGCCCUUAUUACAUCACUUUUUCAGAUUUUUCUUCUCUUAUGCCGUCUCAACUAUUCCAUAUUAGCAUAUUUAUGCCUUAAGUCCCUCCUUAUUUGCCACUUAAGCUGUUUAAUCACUUUUAACAAAUUUUACAUUAUUUUCAGUUUAGUCCUUUUUAAUUAAUUAACCACCCAAACGUUAGAAUUUUCUAACGAAACUUUAAUAUCAAUUCAAUGACACUCUAUAAAUGUUUCUAAAAAUAUUUAUGGCUCGAUUGAUGAGUUUGAGGUUUCGAUACCUCAUUUUUUAUUCUAAUUAUUUUAAUAUUUAUUCUUAGUAUACUAUUCACUAUUUUAAAAAUUUUCCUAACUUCGCAUUUAACUUAUACUCACUAAAUUAAUAAUAUUUUCUACUCAUUUGUCAGAUUUAGUGAUCUAGAAUUACCAUUCCGACACCACCGAAAAUUCAGGCCAUUACAUUAUGUUUAUUGACUCAUUUUUUCUGUUGACUGAAUUUCAGGUAACUCAUCGACUUAGGCGGGUCGGCAUGGCGAGAGCUCGGUCAUCCUUAUUUAGUAAUUUUCUGUUUAAAUUAAACUUAUGCUAUAGUUGUUUUAUCUUGAAUUACAGAUUGCAAAUUUAUAUUUCUACACUAGUUCAACUAUUUAAACAUUUUCUGACAAUUAAACUUUAAUUAGUUAAAAGUGAGAAUUUCUUAAAUGAUUUGUUGUAGCUUUCCAAGCUUGGUCCUAACAUCUAGGUCGGGUUUGGGGUGUUACAACCCAAAACCCCCAAACUUUCCCCUCAAAACUUUUACUCCCCCACCCUUUCUCUUUCUCGCUCACCCUCCCAAACCCUUUUACUUUUCCCCCAAAACUUUUACUUCCCACUUUUACCCCCAAAUCAAAAAUCAAAAUCCUCCCAAAAAAAUCCUUAAACCUAAAUAGUAAUAAUUUUAUUUAUGGCCACUAUUUAUAUUAUAAAUUAAAUUUCACAUUUUCUAUUAUUUAUAUUAUUAAAUUGUUUAAUCAUUUUGAAUCUUUAUCAAUUUCUGUUAAAACUGUAUCAUUGAUGAUGUCAUACAUUAUUUGUGUUAAAAAUUUCUAUUGGUAUCAAUUUCACAUUUUAUCUUUAAAAUAAAUUUUAUUAAAAAAAUUACUUUUUUACAUUUAAUAUAUUUUUUAAUUUCAAAAUAUAUGGUGACAAGAAUUAGAAGAUAAUUGAAGCAACUAAGCAAGUAAAAAAGCUAACAUGUAUAUAAAAGAUUAAAUAAAUUAUGAAGGGAUGAAAGUUAAUAACACAUUUGAUUACGGUGGACAAAUUUGAUAAUGAUGGGUGACAGUGGCUACAAGGAUCCAAAGUAAUUUUUUCAAUUAACUGGAAACAAAUAUAUUCGAUUCGAUUCGAUAAAAUUUGAAAUCAUUUUAGGAUGAUAAAAUAAGAUUCGUCAACUCGAUUAACUCGAAGUUUUUUCAUUUGAUUCGAUUAGACGCUCACCCCUACAAAGUAUGACCGAUUGGUCUGAUUCUGAAAAAAAUUGGUUUUGAUCAAUGAAAGAACUUUUACGAUGGCGACAGGUCUAACAAACAGGUGAUAUUUUGAAAAGAAAAUUAAUCUCCAUAGUCUCAACCUUAGGAGGGUGAAUUUUGAGCAUUGCAUUUGUUGUCAUUGUUAGACAUUAUAAAGGAAGAAAAAAGAAAGAAAAAAGUUAAAAUGAGGGAAAUUAUUGAAAAAAAGAGAGAAGAGAAUAAUUAAUUUUUUUUAAAAUUUUACAUGUCAAUCUAUUAUUGAUUAGAUUUUUUUAAUGAGUGUAACAUUUUGGUGUUAAAUGGAUAAUAAAAAAAUAUUUUAAGUAUCAUUUAUGAUAAAAAUAUUUAGGUAUCAAUUUGAAAAAAAUAUGUAGCUUAGAUACUAAUUGAUGGGUUAAUUUUUUUAGCUUAAUAAUUUGAUUAAACCGAAAUACCAACUGAAAAAAAGUUUACUCGCCGCUUAUGAAAAAAAAUAAGUAUGAAUUUGUAAGUUAAAUCUCCCUAAAAGAAAAAAUAUAUCACAUUCAAUACGGGGUGAAUGAAGCAAUGAAUGCAAUGGGGUAUUACAACCAGCCACAUGUCAUUCAAUUCAUGUUAUAUCUACCUUGUUGGCCCCACAGGCGGUCUUUUCCAUUAUUUUCGAAGUGAACGACAUGAGUCGGACCUAUAUCGGCCCCAACAAACAACCUCAACCACUUGUUUUGUUAGGUUGUUGACUAAUUUGAAUAUGUCGGCUCAAAGCUUUUUGAAAAUUAAAUUAUUUUUUAUAUUAAUAUCAUAUAGGUAUAAAAAUUUAACGUUUUGUAAAAAAAAUAAAUUUAGUGUUAAAUUUAAAUAAUUAUAAAAAAUUAUACAAAAUACAAAGACAACUUAGAGUCAAUAAAAAAAAUAUGGAAAAUCAAUUCAUACAUGAAAUGGCAUAAAAAUAUUAUGAACACUAUACAAAUAUAUGAAUGUUUUUAUAUCUAUAUAAAAUAAGUUAUUAACGCUUAAAUUUCAACCAAUUAAAUAUUAAUUUAACUAUAAACUAUAAAAAAUUAAAAUUUCAUUUACCCUAAACAAUUAUUCUAAUUUCGCCCCUGUAUAAAAUAGUUGUAAUAUUAAAAAAAAAGUUAUACGAAUAUGGAGUGUUAAAAAAAAAGGCUUUCAACUUUUAAUAUUCCAAACAAAUAAAAGAAAUAAUAAUAACAGUUUACAAGUGCAAUAAAAGUAAUACAUAUUUGAUGAAUUAAAAAUAGAAUAAAUAUAACUAACUAUAACAGAAAUAUAUUUAGAUUUAAACCAAAUUUUUUUGAAGAUGAAAUUUGAACUCACAAAUAAUAUUUAUAAAUGAUGAUAUGUUUUAGAACAUGUAUAUUUUAAUUUCAUUUGAUAUUUAAAUUAAAUGAAUGAAAUGAGUAUAUUAGCAUAAAUAUAUUGAAUUUCUAGAUUUAUUAAAAAUCCAACUAAAUAGAGUAGAUCCAUAAAUUUAAAAAAUGAUUAUGGAUUUUGAAAUAUAAAUCUAAAAUUUAAAAUCUGAAACCCUCCUAAAUGUUUUCCAAAGUAAGGCGGGGAUAAAUGGUAUAGGGAAGACGGUGGGUAGAUAGAUGUACGGUUUAUUUAUAACUUCGUUUUUAUUAGUCGGCUUACAGUUUCAUAAAAAGCAUCCGUGCAAGGCAUGUUCAAAUGCUGCACUAGCAUACCACUACUAUAAAAAAAACACAUACAAGAGCACCACAAAUUUAUCCCAAAAUACAUUAAAUAAAUGACUCCUAAGGGUGCCAGAUUUAACUAGUGUGUCUGGGAUUGUAUUAGCCUCUCUGAGGCCAUGUGAAAAAAUUUAAUGUUAUUGUUAUAUUUCCAUCUCGAUACGUUGCAAGACAUGAAGCAAUCUGUAAACAACUCUCUUUUGGAAGCAGUUUGCAUACGACUCUUCGCUAAGAACCAUUUGUUGUGAUCUUUCGCUUAGGAUUGCUCACAAAUGACCCCCAUGCACCCUAUCUCUCUCCCUCCUUAACUCAUCAUCUUGAACUCUCAUCCUAUUAUAGGUGAAUCGAGACUCUUCUCCUCCACCCUUUCCUCGUUGGUUACUUGUAGCAAAAAAAAUUAAUUUCACCGAAAAUGUUGGAGAGAUCCCAUGGUCUAAGUGUGUUGUUAGAGCAAAGCUCGAUGGCAAAUUUGGAGUCAAAUUUUAGAAUCAACCCUUUAAAAUCCAUUACACCGUAAAGGAAAAUUUUUACAAUUACAUUAACAAUAAAUAUUCAAAAUUUACUCAUCUAUCUAUACUUAUAUUAAGCCUUAUUUGAGUUGGAGUCAAGAGUCAACUAGGUACUAACUCAGUUGAGAAUUUACUAAAUAAUUUUAAUAUAAAGUAAAAAAAAUAUUAAUACGAGGGUGUUUUUAUCUUUUCAUAUUUUUAAAUAAAAAUACUAUAAUAAGAUUUAAACUUAAGUUUAAAAUUUCAAUCAAAACAUCACUUAAAUUUAAAAUAACAUUUUUAUAUAAAAUGUGUUUAGAUUCUAAGAUAAUGAAAUUUAUGAUGAGGUAUUCAAAAUGUGUUUGAAUAUGCUAAUGAGAUAUUCAAAUUGGUAUGCACAUUCCUAAUCAGGGAGCAUUAAUGAUAAUUUAGUAAAAUAAAUUAUCUCAUUAGCAUAUAGUUUAUUAUAAAAUUAUUGUGUAAAAUAAACAAUUCACAAACUUAAGAAUUUAUAACACAAAAAUUAUACAUCAAUGUUGUUAGAAUUGUAUUAUAUCCAUCGGUUGAAUUUAAAUUUAAAAAUUUAAUCAGCGAUAAUAAUUAAAAUCGUUUCAAACUAGUAAAAUAUUGAAAAUUAAGAACUAAUAAAAUAGAUUCUAAUUAUUUUUAUUUAAAAAAUGUUACCUUCUUAUUCAGGUUACAUUAAGACAAACCCAUCUUAAUUAUAAGUAUCAUAUUGUGAAUGGUAAACUUCUUACACAACAUCCACCAUUUGUCCAAAUAUGUUAAAUUAGGUGCAACAUAGAAAUUUUAUUGUAAGGAGUGAAUCUCAUUGUUUUUAUUUUCAUCAAACAUACGUCUAACUUUAUUAUUACGGGAUUAGAACUUAAAUUUGAUAAAUUGUGUGGUUUUAGGUGAUUUCUUUUCGUUAAAUUUAUCUAAAUCAACCUAACACUCGAAAAGUGAGAAUUCUCCUAAAAAUUCUUUAUGUUAGCAAAAAAUAUAGUGGAAGUAACUUGAAACGAAAGAGCAAUGAGAGAAUUGAAAAGACACAAGAAAAUAAUGCAUACAAGGUGUUUGAGUAAAUGCUCUCAAUAAAUUCUUUAACUCAAGAAGGAAUGAAGUACAACCAGUAUCUAGCCCCCCUAAAAUAGAAAAUUUUCCAUUUAUAUACCUUUAUAAUUUAUAAAAUUUAAAAUUUUACUUUCCCAUAAAAUGAUAAAAAAUUGAUUUAUUUCUUUAAAAAUUAUAAAGAUGACUAUUAAAAUAGUAAAAUUGUAUUUUUAUUAUUGUAAAAAUAUACAAUUUAAUUCUGUCUCCCAAAUUUUUUUUUUUUGGUUUCAUCCCUAAGUACAAUGAUCGUUGUAGCAGGAUACAUAGGCAUUCUAGCACAGAAUGCAAAUAUGUUGCCAAUUAACUUCGAGUCAUGGCAUAAAGUGCCCGAGAGUAACAAGAACCAAGCUCUCGAUAACAUUAAGGUAACAAAAUGUGUAUAUCAUUUAUAAUACUUGAGUUUAAGUUUCGUUUACAUUUACUUUCUGAAGUUGUGUUUUUUGUAGGGGAGAUUUGCUCUAGAGGUCUCCGAUGCUUAUGUAAAGAAGGCAUUGGGAAAAAGAUGGAGAGACCAUAAGAGCACUUUAAAGAAAGACUAUUUUAAGACAAAAACAACACUCGACGAGAGAUUACAAAAUGUCACGCCGGGAAUGCUGAGGUACCAGUGGGAAGAAGUCGUUAGAUUUUGGACUUCGAAGAAAGGAGAGGUAUGUGUUACUACAAAAAUCUUGUAAUUAUUUUGGUUUAUAGUAUUUACUAAUUAACGUACUAAUAAUUUCAUAACGUAGGAUCGUGAACGAGUUGGAACAAGUAGUAGGCAGAAACAAAAAUUCACGCACACAGCUGGGUCGAGAAGUUUUGCGUGUGUAGCUCAGGCCGAGGUAUUUUGAAUUUUUUAAUACUGGCAGAUAUUUAUUACUUUCUAUCAAAUAAUAUUUUUACUAUUGUAUUGUAGGAAGUGUUGUCGGGUCAAAAAGUUGGACGCCUUCAACUUUUUGACAUUACACAUAGGAAGAAAGAUGGAAACCCUAUGACUCCUGAAGCUGCAGAAAUUAUGGUACGUUUGCUUAAUACAAUUUGACUUGUUUUAAUUAUUUAUGCUGUUUAUUUUCUAAUGUUUUUUAUUACAUUUCUUGUAAUGCAAAUAUUGUUAAGUUAUGUUGCAUUUGUUUUGUUAAUAUAUGUUGCGUUCUUAACUAUGUGAUUUAUUUUUUAGGAAAAACUGAAGGAUAAAAAGGCGGAGUACGAAGCGAUUGCUUCCAGUGAUAGUUCUGUUCAUAUUGACGACAUUGAUAACCGGAUUAUCACUGAAGUUUUGGGUCCUGAAAGGUAUGGUCGGGUUCGAUUUCAAGGAUCUUUUGUUAACCCAUCCCAAUAUUUUGGAUCCAGCUCGCAACAAUACAUGCAUUCGGGGAGUCAGGCUCAAGCUGAAGUUCAGAGGUUAAGAGACCAGAUAGCUCAGAUGCAAGCGGCAACGAGUGAGCAAAUUACACAACUUAAAGCGGAGGCAACAUCGAGAGAAGCUGAGGUUCAAAAAAGAUAUGAAGAACUCCAGCUACAACUUAAAGCAGAUGCGGCAGCGAGAGAAGCAGAGGUAGCAGCGAGAGAAGCUGAGGUUCAACGAAAGUAUGAGCAACUGCAGCAGCAGCUUAAAGAAGAUGCGGCAACGAGAGAAGCAGCGGCUGCAGCGAGGGAAGUAGAGGCUGCAGUGAGGGAAUCAGAACAGCAUAAAAAGUUCGAUGAACUCCAGCAGCAGCUUCAGAAUAUGAUGAAGAUGUUUCAGCAGUCGCAACCGCCGUCAUCUUAGACUAUCGUUUAAAUAUACUUCAAUUUUGACUUUGGUAUUAUUAUUUUAACUUUUACAAUUUCUGUCAGAAUAAUACGAAUUUUAUUUUAUUUAUUGACAUUUAUUUUAAAUAUUAUAUAGAUUUGGUUAGAUUUGGUUGGUUGGAUUUGGUUUCUUCUGAUUUGUUUUUAUAGGAGGGGGCUGAAAUUUUUUUUUUCAAAUCUGCAAAAAUUAGCGGCGUUUUUUUGGAUAAGCGCCGCUAAAGACCAUCGUCUAUAGUGGAAUUUUUUGGCUAAGCGCCGCUAAAGACCAUGGUCUAUAGUGGCAUUUUUCGGCUAAGCACCGCUAAAGACCAUGGUCUAUAGUGGCGUUUUUUGUCUAAGCGCCGCUAAAGACCAUGGUGUAUAGUGGCAUUUUAUGGCUAAGCGCCGCUAAAGACCAUGGUGUAUAGUGGCGUUUUUUGGCUAAGCGCCGCUAAAGACCAUGGUCUAUAGUGGCGUUUUUUGUCUAAGCCCCGCUGAAAACCAUGGUCUAUAGUGGCGUUUUUUGGCUAAGCGUCGCUAAAGACCAUGGUCUAUAGUGGCGUUUUGUGGCUAAGCGCCGCUAAAGACCAUGAUCUAUAGUGGCAUUUUUCGGCUAAGCGCCGCUAAAGACCAUGGUCUAUAGUGGUGUUUUUUAGGCUAAGCGCCGCUAAAGACCAUGGUCUAUAGCGGCGUUGCAAAGAAAACGCCGCUAAAGACCAUGGUCUAUAGUGGCGUUUUUUAGGCUAAGCGCCGCUAAAGACCAUGGUCUAUAGCGGCGUUGCAAAGAAAAUGCUGCGAAAGGUCUUGAUCUUUAGCGGUGUUUAUUAUAAAAAGCGCCGCUAAAGUUACCGACGCUGUCAUUAGCGGCGAUCCUUGCGGCGCUUCGUAAAGCGCCGCUAAAAGUAUUUGCGGCGCUAAAAAAUGCCGCUAUAGACCUAAAAAAGCGCCGCUAAAACCCUGUUUUGGUGUAGUGUGAGAUGAUUACAAAUGAAGGGGGAGAUCUCUAUUUAUAGUUGAGCUCCCCUAGAUCCAAUAGUAUAGAUUGAAUUACAUCAACGAUUGAGAUUAGUACUUAUCUACAAGAUGAGUCUUAAGGAUUUUAAACUCUAUACAUCUUUAUCCCUUAGGAUUUACAUUAAUUACUCUGGUAACUCUAGUUUUACUGGAGAGUUUCACUGAACCACCAAAGGUUUAAGUAGAUGAGCUUCUCCAUAUGUUCCACGAGUUGGACAAGUUCAAGCGGAUCAAAUGAGCCCAAUUUAAUUAGUUAAUCUCAAUAAAACGUUCUAUGCACAAUGAUCAUGAACUUUGAUCCACAUCUCAAAAUGAUCAGAUGAAUAAUCUCUCUUAAUUAUAUUUUUAUAAAACUUGAUAUUUUCAUUUAAAAAGAAACACAAUCACAUAUAAUAAUGUCUCCAAAAGAGUCGUCCACUUCAAAGAUUUAAAGUAAUGUAAGAAUGAACCCAACAUUUUUCAAUUAAAAAUAUGUCGAUAGAUAUAGCAAGUUGUAUAACCUUUCAAUUACAAAACAGAUUUCAAUGGGGAUUGCAUCCGGUACAUGCAACUAAAGAACAGAACCGGUGCAUAAAUUGAUUUAAUUAAACUUUGGGUUGAGUAAUCAUGAUUUUCAUUAUUAUUAGACUACGUGAAUGUUGAUAUAAAAUGCUUGAGAGAAGGGUAUAGAAGAAACACAAAAUAAUGAGUGAUAUUAAUUUGUAGAUAAAGAUAAUAUUACAUAGUCGCAAAAAGCGACCUAGUACACAACGCACAACUCUAAAUUAGGAUAACUCCUCUGCUAUCCCUAUGGAUGGAUUUUAACAUCCAUAUUUAUUCUGUAGCUAUCGUUAUUUUGGCUUCCACUAGCUGGUGAACUUUCCAUGCCAAAACUUCACUUAACCCUGCAAAUGAAACAACAAAAAACACAACAUUAAAUGUUGAGCAAUUAAUAAGCAUAAGCAAUGAAACAACUCAUACGAACCUGCUGCAGUCAGUGCUAGGGCUGAUCUUGUAAGGGAUGUUGACACCGCACUUGCCUGGGAGUCCGCUUGCAAUACCAUAGUUGAUGCCAGGAAUGCCGGCGGCCGCACUUUUGAUGCAUUUGCAAGCUGCUUGCCGGUCUGGUGUUGUUUGGGCGGCGGAGUUGAGAGAUUUGAUGCCGCUGCAGCAACCUUGGGGAACGGCACCAGCACCAUUCCCUCUCAAGUAAUUAAUGCAGGGUGCGAGGGAGCCUGUGACUUGACCACAGGUUACGGUCCCUUGAGCCAGGGGUGCACCCACCACCAUGCACAACACCACCACACAUGCAAGCUUAAGGGACAUUGAGCUAGCCAUAUCGAUUAAUUACAAGAAAAACAAACUUGUAAGGAAAAUGCUUGCUUGGAGUAGUAGUAGUAUUGCUGAUUGUUGCGUGGUUAGGGCCCGAGGGUAGGAGGGUUUUUAUAGCCAAAAGUUUUGUGAAGGGAUAUGGAACGAACUGAGAAACACGUACGAAUAGAAUAUGGUUAGGCGUUGGUAGUUGUCCCAAUUCAAUGCCAAGGUUUCUUUUUUUCUUUUUCAUGUUUCAGCUUAUGGUUGAGUGUGUUUAAUGCUUUGAAAAAGGUUUGUAUCUACCACUUUCAUCUUCAUCACUAAUGCUGAAUUACUCCGUUGAUUAAUGCAUCAUAUUAGCCUUGUCCUAGUGUUACCGGUUUUCUGAUAUUAGUAGCUUUACCAAUAAAAGAUGCUAUCAAAUAUAGUUUUCAGGAUGAUAUUAAAAAUUAAGGUUUUUUAGUUACAAAUAAAAUUGUCACAUUAUCAAAUUUUAAAGAUAUGAAAUUAUUAUUAUAAACUCAUCUAUAGAGAAAUUAUUUUAUGAGCCCUUUCCACCACAUUAUUCACAGUCCAUUUUCAAUUAUUUAAUAAUAUUUCAACAAUAUUUUUCAUGUCAUUGACACAUAAUUUUAAUAAAUUUUUUACCCUGAACCUUGAGUCUAGAAUCCCAAACCCUAAAUAAAAAACUUAAAACCCCAAACUAUAACCCCAAACACUUGCAUCAUAAACUCGAACCGCGAACCUCAAACUCAUAAUCUGUAACCUUGAACCCAAACUUGUAAUCUCGAACCCUUGAACCCUUGAACCCUGAACCUAAACCUUGAACCCUGAACUCAAAGCCCAAAACCAAAACUGAACCCUGAACCUUAAAUCUCAAACCCAAACCUUAAACCUCGAGGUUUGGGUUCAAGGUUCAAGGUUCAGGGUUUGAGUUCAAGGUUCGAGGUUUAGGAUAAAAUAAUUACCAAAAUUUGUAACAGAAUAAAAGAGUUCGUUUAUAAUUUAAAAAGCAAUUAUUUUAAGUAAUUUAAUUAAAGUGAAAUUAAGUUAGAGAAAAUAUUAGAUAUAGAUGAGUGUAUAAUAAUACUUUAUUGUCUUUAAAAUUUAAUGACGUGGUACUAUUUUAUUGGUGCCUCAAACUAUACUUUUUAGAAUAAUCCUAAUACAAUUUAUUCCCAUAUUAAAUACGUAUGCUUUCUAUAUUUUUUCGAAAAAAUAAAUUUUAUUCAUAAACUUUCUAUAUAUAAAUAUAUGUUUUAUUUAAAAUUUAUAAAUACAGAAAAAUUAAAAUAUAAAUAUAUGUCAAAGUAGCUAUUAAGUGUAGAAUUAAACAAUUAUAACAUAUAAAUAGAUUAAAAAUUAGGACAAAAAAUCAAUCUAUUACAUAAAAUAUAAAUUAUGAAUGAAAACAAUCUAAAUUAUAGUCUGGCUAAUCAAACUAAAACUUACAUAUAACCAUAUGACUUUAAGGGUCUUGAAUAUGGUUACUUAAAAGCUUAUAGUUCAGCUUUUACCCACUACGUCAAGGCUUCAUUUACGUUUUUUUUAACCAUAUAUUUUUCAUAUAAUUAUAUAUAUAUAUUUUGCAUAAAAAAUCCCCAAGACGUUAAUUACUUCUAUAUAAUGUAGCGAUUAAGUCCUCAAACAAAAAUUGCUCAACAUCAAUGCAUGUAUAGAUCAAUUUUAUAUAUCAAAGACCAAUACUAUCUUUUUCUUAAAAAAAAAAAAAAACCAAUAUGUUGUGAUUGCUUAGCUAUUGUUCCUAAGUCUUCCUGAAAAAGGUUUCACAGCGAGAGGAGAAAAAAAAAAGUUGAACUUGUCUUGGUUUGCCCCAUAAUGAUUGAAGCAUAGACAAGAUUAUAAAUGUUAAUUUAGUAUACGACAUAAUAAUAUAAUAUAAUAUAUUUAAAUGUAUAUCUCCUCACCUCCUAGACGCUGUCAGUUAUUUUAUUUUUUGGGAUUCUUUUAACAAAAGGUUGAGCUUUUUAUUAGGUUUUAUUUGAUUUUUCAUUUAUUAAUAUAAUUUUUUUAUUUUUAUAUAUUUUAGUUAUUAUUAAUUUUUGUUGGAAAUUUGUACGGUCUUGUUCUAACAACAAUUACAACAAGCUUUUUGGAACAAUCAAAAGUUUUGGGUGUUGGCAUGUUUGACUUUUAAUGGCUUAUGUUUUAAUAUUAGUUAACAACAAAUGAUAAGAGAAUUUCAUGGUAAAUUAGAAUAUAAUUAUCAUCCAUUUGAUUAGUCUUGAAGAGGAAGGAGAGGAGUUUUAACUUUGGUGGACACCCAUCCUUAUCCUUGUCUUUUAGAGUGUUUGAAGCUAUUGGAGAACUUGGUUUUAAAGAUUUUAUUUGAUAAAUAUUCAAAAUAAUUAAUUUGAUAAUUUCAACUUUUAAAGGAGAGUUUAAAACUUAUCAAAAUAUUAUUUGAUAAACACUUGUAGAGGCGUAUAAAUAGGCAACAGUGUGGUGUAACUUUGUUUGUUGUUUUGGAGUGUCUUAAACUUUUAUUUUUUUGCUAUUCCAUUGGGUAACUUUAUGACACUCUCUUUUUAGGUAUUAUUUGGAGAUGUUUAGUAAUUGUAUUGUGAGGAAUUUGAGUGAGUGAUUGCAUUGAAGAAAUGCGACCUAAAUGUAUAUGUUAAACUCUUAUCUAGGACAUAAAUUCCAUGAACAAGGUACCCAUGUUAAUAACAUGUCACCACUUCGCAUCUUUAUGGUAUUGACCCUAUGUAGUUAGACCCUAUAUGACGUAAACAACACUUAUAGUGUGCACGAUAUCGUAGGCUUGAACGUUGAUUGAAUGCAACCUAUAUUUUGGUGCCUUUGUCGGAAAUGAUGUAUGCAUCGGGUUGCGGUACAAAUGCCUUCUCAGGUUAGUUAAGAAGAAAUCCCAUUCAUCAUUGGAUUCUUCAGGAGUUAUUACAAAAGCUAUUGGCAGGAUUUUUAGGUUACCAUCUUAUGCAACAACUACUAACAACCGAUGGUCGCAUAUUCUAUACAGGAAUGUGCCGUUAAUUUGGAAAAGUGGCUUACAGUACCAAAAUGUAGUUCUGCAUUGCUUAAAAGUCCAAAAGCAACGGUGGAAAACUCCUUUUCCAGGGACCAAGCAAUCGUCAUAAUACGCAGGCUCCAUUUUUAACUUGGUUACAGAACCUAGUAUGUACCACUCUAGUAUCUAACACCAUUGCCACAAUUUAUAGUAGGAUUUCUCCCACCCUCUAUUCAUUUUCUCCAAUGCCUUCUAUUUUUGCAACUAUGUCUUAUGCUAGGACAUGGUGUAAUCGGAUUCUCUACAGAUGUGUGCGAUCAAAAUUGGGACCAGAAUCGUAGGACUUGCUUUUGCCAUGGGUAAUAGAAUUUUAGAUAUCAUGUCUAAAUCUAAUUUUGGAUGAUCAUUCGAUAUGCUUGAAAAACAAGAAAUCAAGUCACUAUGUGUAAUAGAAUGUAAAAAAAGGCUAGGAUUCGAGUCGAUGUUGUUAGCCAUAUUACAUACCAGCUACAACACAUGUAUGUGGCACGAUAAAUUUCCUACGUUUAAAAUGCCAACUUCUUCGUCAUAAAUGCCAUGAUUUUCCAUAGACAUCUUGUUGCACGCAUUGUGCGCAUCGCCUUAUAUUUCUCGGAUUGAGAGCAUGUAAUAGUGAAGUUGACACCAAGUUGUAUGCUAUACUACUUGAUUGUAGCUACAAAAGCAUAUUUGGAGUCAAAUUCCAUCCCAACCUCUAAGUGGUCGAAAUUUGUUGAUGAAGUCGCAUACCUUAGUCUUCUACGGGGGAGGUCUGGGAAUUCUAAAACCACUUUCACUAGUAAGACUGAGAGUACGCAUAUGGGGUGGGGGUUUGUAUUUCGUGAAACUUAGGUCAUCCCCUCGAGCGAUGUCUAAAGCUUGACCAUUAGAUCCAUCGUCUUCUAGUUCAGUAGGAAUGGGAUCUAGUUCUAAAAUUACUACAAUUUCGCACCAUCCAGUCCAACCACCUCUCCUGGGUCAUUAUCUGAUUUAGACCCCUCUUUGACCACUUUGUUCUCUUGUCCCUCUUUGUUAUCAACCCUGGUUGUAAGUCCAGGGUUGGAUGUACCCUCUCUGGUCAAAGUUGUCAAGAGUAGAUCAUUCAUUCUUGUAAAUCCGAUGUCAAUCCCAAAAUCAAUUCUGUUUGGCCUACCCAGUAACUUGAUGGUGUACCAUAUGAGUGUUAUCGAGGUUGAACAUAGGUGUGUCAAAGUUGAAACCAAAGGCACUGAUAGAAUGUUGUGCGGCUGUGUUGUAGGCCUGGUGACCGAAUACGUCUAACUAUCCCCCGAAGUUGAAAUCGAGGGAUGAAAUCGAUGAAUGCCUCACCAUUGAUGAUGUUAAUAAUGUGUCUUUGUAUAAGCUUUGUAGAAAUGAUCUGAAUCCACAACAAAACCGUGUGGCCAGACUUUUUGCUUCUUGAUUUGGCUAGAAAUUUGGCGGACACGGUAUAAUCGAGCUUGGGCCACCUUUUUCCUCUUCAGCAAAGACUGUAUAUUCUCACUAGAGUAAUGAGUUUCGAUCACUGUCUUCAAACCGUUGUCCCCUGUGAUCUGAAAAAUGGAAUAUCUAACGGGGUUAAAUGAUGUUAGAUAUCUACAUUUCAGGCUCAAAAUUCUUCUUCAGAUCCCUACUUUAUGCCUAAACCUUGUUCAAAGCUCUUUUAACGUUAUGCUCUAGUUGAAUGUCAGAUCUUUAGAUUGGGUUGAUACAAAAAUGGGCUCAAUUUCAGCCUCACAAUUUUGACCGUUGUAAUGGACAAUAGCUCUGGCUCGUCUCCUCAUCUUGAACCAAAUAUUCUAUUCCACAUGUUUAAAAUCGAGAAAAUUGUAAAAAUAUAGUUCUCAUCACCCAAAUCCCUAAAUUUACACUUACUUUAAUGAAAUACCUUUGCUUCGACAAUAUUGUCAGUAUAAAAUUUUUGUUUUUUACUACAACAUCGAUAACUCCUAAUGCCAACAAUCUGCUUCAAACAUCUGUAUGGAAAAUCCAAGAAUUAUAUUGAGUUUUUUUAUAGAGCCUUUUCCUCGACGCACAUGAAACGAUUCUAGCAACAACACAUGUCAAGGCAUUAGUUGUUUUUGAGGUAUACACUAAAAAUUAAAAUUUGUGGGGGAGAAAACGUUCCCCGCAACGAUGUUUUUCAGCACCUAGACAUAGCAUUGAAAUUUAUCCUAGGAAUCCCGGGUUGUAGGGGCUUAGAGGUUGAAGCAAUCAAGUUGGCUUGGGUAUUGAAAGACCAUAAAGAAAAUGCCUAUUGCAGGAAGCAUUUCCACCUGACUUGGCAAUCAAAAUGCCUCCUGCAGGACGCGUUUUCCAGCCACAUCUCUGAUAUGUUAGUCGAAAACGCAUCUUGCAAGAGGCGUUUGUACUGCCAUGUUAGGUAAAAACACUUCCUGCAGGGAACAUUUUCUUUAUGGCCAUUUCAACACCCAGGCCAACUUAAUUGCUUCUGCCUCUGAGCCCUUACAACACGGGAUUCUCGGGAUAAAAAAAUUUCCCUUUUUACCCCACCCCAUCCCUUAUAUAAAUGCAUGUUCUCAUCCCCUACUCACCCAUAUCUCAGUCUCCUUUAAAUUAUUUUUUUCUUUUUCUUCCGUGUUGAAAUUUUCAAGUUUAAAGAUUUAUUUCUCUCACACUUUGAGGGGGAUGUAAUCAUAGUUUUAAGUUGUGUUUGAGUUCACAAUAAUGUCGUGGCGCUUGAUAACUUACAAAUUUCACUUGUCGUGUGAGUAUGGAGCCAUCACUUGAGAAAUCGAGAUCGCUUUGCAACUCGAGGUCCAAGUUGACGGUGUAAAUAAGGCUUCAAGUUUACAAAGGUUAUGCUAUUAAAAGGAUGGAGCAAAACCGGGACUGUAGUUGAUGAUGGUGAUGCAAGCACAAGAACUAGUUUUUCCUCAUUGGAAGAGCAUACUUUAUAAAAUCCAUAUACAAGUACGAGGGAGAAAAUCACAGGGGUCUUCCAGUAUAAUCAAGUAAUUCAUUUUAUCCUUUUCCAGCAAAGGCAAUGACCCUGUUACUAAAACCUAUUACAUCCCAAUUCUAUCAUAGGUAAUAGUAACGGUGUCACUGUCUUUGGUGGAGAUGGAUAAAAAAAUUUACUUAAUUAUACUGAGAUACCAUUGCAUUUUUCUUCCUCGUACUUGUGUAUGAGUUUUAUAAAGCAUCAUUUUCUAAUGAAAAAAGUUUUUUGUCGUGCCCGCAUAACCAUUGUAAAUUACAGCUCCAAUCAUACUCCGUCCUUUGAUAGCGUAACAUUUUGUAAACUUGAAGCUCUAGUUACACUUCAAUUUCAGACCGUAUAAUCACCCUUAACUGGGACCAUGAGUUGCAAUGCGAUCUGGCUUCUCGGGUGAUGGCUCCAUACUCACAUGACAAAUGAAAUUUGUAGGUCACCUAACUCCACGACACCACCAUAAAUUCAAACAUUCCUUAAAACUAUAACAGUGUCUAUCUCAAACAAGAAUGAAAAUAAAUGUUCAAACUUCUAAUUUCAAAUUGCAAGAAAAAAAAAAGAAAAAAAUAAAUUUUAGCAAAGUAAAAAUGGGUCCUACCGGCACAUUUUCAUUGCCACAUCAAUGAAAAUACACCUCGUACGACACGUUAUUCUUUCUUCGUAAACAAUGUAAAUCAAUAAAUUUAAAAAAAAAUUAUACAUUCUCAAAUAACUCUUUUUUUCAGCAUUUUUGUUAAAUUUAUCCCAUAAUACUGCUACUUCUUGUUUCCUGGGUUAUUUUUAUUACUGCUGGUUGUACCACCCUCCUACUGUGCGCCGGUUAUAGCAACUCACUCAAGAUUCUAAAUACUAAUAUAAACACCAUUUCUUUUAUUCUUAGUUUUUUUAGUGAUUAACGUGGUUUUAAUUAUCGUUAGAUCACGUGGGUGUUUAUAUGAAAUGCUUGAAAUCGUCACGCAGGACAAAAAAAAAAAAGAAAAAGAAAAGGAAAUGAAGAGUAUAUAUAUAGAGGAAACAACUAGUGAGAGUGAUAUUAAUAUUUAGAGUAGGUAAAGAUAGUAUUAUAUAGUCGCAUAUGCGACCUUGUACAUUACCACUAACUCUAAAACUAGGAUAACUCCAACAAUGAAUAGUACCGCUAUGGAUUUUUAACAUUCAUUUUUAUUCUGUCGACAUCACUAUUUCCCUUCCAUUAGCUGAUCCCAACUUCCAUGACCACACUUCACUUAAUGCUGCAAAUGCAACCACACCAAACAAAACAUUCAUAAAUUAAUAAAUCAAUUGCCAUAAGCGAUAAACUUUGGGUCAUUUUCUUUUUCCGUAAUUUCAAAGAAACCUAGUUUAAAUUAGAUACGAACCUUUUGCAGUCAGUGGAAGGGCUGAUCUUGUAAGGGAUGUUGAUACCGCACUUGCCUGGGAGUCCGGCUGCAGUGCUAUAGUUGAUGCCAGAAAUGCCGGUGGCCGCACUUUUGAUGCAGCUGCAAGCUGCUUGCCGGUCUGGUGUUGUUUUGGCGGCAGAGUUGAGAGAUCUGAUGCCGUUGCAGCAAGCUGGGGGAGCAGAACCAGCACCAUUCCCUUUCAAGUAAGCAAUGCAGGGUGCGAGGGCGCUUGUGAUUUGACCACAACUUAUGGCCCCUUGAGCCAGGGGUGCACCCACCACCAUGCAAAACACCACCACACAUGUAAGCUUAAGGGACAUUGAGCUAGCCAUAUCAAUUAGUCACAAGAAAACAAACUUGUAAGGAAAAUGCUCGCUUGGAGUAG
rnacentral:lncRNA from 1 species